GCGUUCCCUUUGCAACAAAAAUAUUUACAAUUGCUAUCAAGGAAAGUUCUGAUGCAGUAUUGAUGUUGUCAUUAGCAGGACCGAAUGCACUUUGUCCUGCAUAUAACUCAUUAAGGAGCUAUGGGAAAAAGCAGAAGCAAAGACAAGUUGUAUUUUUUUCUAUAAGAAAGACAGCAUACACUGAAGAGUCCAAACUUCUGCCUGGAAAGUCAUGUGCACUGAUUUAUGCUCUUCAGGCUGGAAAGAGAAGAUAUGGAGUGUGAUGGCAAAGGUAUUUGGGGACUUUCUCUGGUGGCGAUGAUUCUUUUCUGCAGAGCUCGUCAGGUAAAACUUAAGCAGUGCUUUGCUCUCACCGGCAAUGGAGUAGCUCCACCACCUGGGGAGGGCAGUCCCUGUGCCUGGCUUCUAUUGAGUAAGCAUCCUAAAGGACCAUCCAGCCCAGGACCAUUUCCAAAUGAGUGGACUGCAGAGGCUUGCAGAGCUCAGGACCCAGGGCAGGGGAAUCUGUCUUCACUCCUGGGCUCCAGAACCCACAGGGAGAAGUGCUUAAACCUACAUAAAUAAUAUAAUCCCUGGGCAUUGGCAAAGGAAAAAAUAGAAAAGACACAAAGGCUGUCAUGAAGGAAAGGUUUGUCUCUCCACAGAAGGAGCACAACUGAUUCCUGCCCGCCUGCUCUGAGGGGCUGCAGGAAAGGUGAGCUCAACAGGGACAAUGUUCCUGGCUCUAUUUCCUGCAUGAAGCAUGGAACAGAUUGAUGGAGCUGUGCCAUCAUGGGCAGUUAGAACCGAGCUGAGCAAUGCCGUCACCCUGCCAUCUUUCUAGGAUCCUUCGUUUGAAGCAGUUGACAAUGUCAGCCUGUGAUUGAGGAAGUUUGAUGAGUAAAGCAAGAUGCUGUAAAUCUUCUGUAAAUCUUUGUCUUCAUUUCCUCCAGUAUGAAAAUUUUCUCAUGAGCAUUUGUGGUCACAGGAGAUUAUCUGGACUACUACUCUCUUCUGUAACAUGCAGUGAAUUAAAGCUUGCUCAGAAUUGCCUCACACUUUUAUAAGUCAUCUUCCUGGCUUUGUGCAAUGCAUUAAUUAAUCCUACUUAGCAUAGGGAUGGACUUCCUCCCACCGUGGAUAUCUUCUUCCAUCUGCAAUUAUUAUUCUCUACUUAGAAAAAGCAUUGUUUCCUAUUGAUCAGCUAGAAUUUUCAUUAUGCCCAUGGGUUACAUAUGUGGAGUAGAUCUCACACAAAUGUGAUGUUAAUACUGAUUGCACUUGGUCUGCUCCCAUUUGUUAUCUAUUGAUUUUCAGUGCUUUGGCAUAACCAUGUCAGUAUUUAGUAAAAAUCCCCAUGUCUCAGUGGAACAAUUAACUGGUACAGUGUAUUUGUGCCUGGAUGCACAUUUGUGCAAUCGGUGAAUUUCAAGAGCUGUAAGCACAACCUCGCCUGUAUGAAAUACAUUUUAAGAGCUGACAUUAAAGUUAAUAUGAAAGUUCAGAGGUGCAAAAUAAUUUAAAUGCACAGAAGAGGUAGCAAUAACGUUUCUAAACUGAGGCAGUGAAUUAUGUAUAUAAGAAAUAUUAAAAAUGCAAAGCUGACUCUAUUUGCAUUCAGAAUGCCCCCUA
ensembl:lncRNA